rnacentral:rRNA from 1 species
GACGAACCGAGCGAACGUUGUUCGGAAUCACUGGGCUUAAAGGGCGCGUAGGCGGGUACUCAAGUCCGUGGUGAAAUCCUCCGGCUCAACCGGAGAACUGCCUCGGAUACUGGGUGUCUCGAGGGUGGUAGGGGUAUGCGGAACUAUCGGUGGAGCGGUGAAAUGCGUUGAUAUCGAUAGGAACUCCGGUGGCGAAGGCGGCAUACUGGACCACUUCUGACGCUGAGGCGCGAAAGCCAGGGGAGCAAACGGG